rnacentral:rRNA from 1 species
UAAACUGAAGGGUUUGAUACUGGCUCAGAACGUACGCUGACGGAAUGGAUUAGGCAUGCAAGUCGAACGCUUGAGCUCUUCGGAGCAAUAGAGUGGCGAACGGGUGAGUAAGGCGUGAAUAACCUACCUUGAUGAGGGGGACAACCAUUCGAAAGGAUGGCUAAUACCCCAUAAGCUCCUACGGGAGGAAAGCUGGCUUUGCUGGCGCUUCAGGAGGGGUUCACGUACUAUUAGCUUGUUGGUGGGGUAAUGGCCUACCAAGGCGAUGAUGGUUAGCGGGUCUGAGAGGAUGAUCCGUCACACUGGGACUGAGACACUGC